AUAUUCCUUGUUCAUUCAGAUUUUGUAGAUUUCACGCGUCAACCCUAACAGCAAAGCUCUUCUCUGAGUCUCAGGUUCUUUCUUUCUCAUUUACUCAUCCAAUUGCUUCUAUUAUUUUCCUCCCAUUUGCAUUGGUCAGAAAGCUAAGGAAAGUAUAAUAGAAGUAGACUCAAGUUAUUAUUUUCUUAAUUUCUCUCUUUUAGUUUUGCAUUUGGUAUUUUAUGGCAAAAGACUGAAUGAAAUAUGACGAGUUAGAGUGACCUGUUGAUUUUACUUUCAUUUUUUGUUGGUAUUGACAUCGAAAUACAGAUUAUUUUAUGAAAAUUUGUUAUUUGCCUCUUUGAUGAUUGACUGUAUUGAUGGUUAUAUGGGAUGAUUUGUUGUUUGCUUGCUGAACAUAAACGGCUGAAUUGGGAAUUGGCCAUUAGGUGAACUGAAAUGUUAUCCCUCUCCUAAUUUGAUUAAUUGGUUUCCUAAUCUAAUUAAUUUCCUAAUUAUGGUGUGUGUUAAUUUUUUUAAUUAUGGUGUUACCUAUUUUUUUUUUUUUUAAAUAUAAAAGAUCUAUCAGAUUAGGCAUACACAGCAUGGGUUAUGCUUUAUGUCCUCGUAAUCAUAUAACAAAUGGAAUAAAUUGUAUCUCAAAAUGCUUUAUGUCCUCUAAGCAGGUCAUUUCUGUUAUGAGAGUGGCUAGUGAUAAAUAAAUUGUACAGCCUGACAUCUCACAAGUUGCAUAAUGCAUCUUAGAAAGUUCAUGUGUGGACAACUCUUGGGGAAAAACAAUUUUAGUAGUCAUACUUGAUGGAAGGUAGCUCCAAGGUUAAUAGGAAUUAGGAAGUUGAAAGUGAAGAUAAAAUUUUUGCCUAUGUAGAAGUUUUUGUUAGUGUUGUUUUCUCUGGUUAUGUGGGGUACUUUCUUCAUCUUUUUUCUUCUUUUUCUUAUUCUCAGUCACCGGAUUCCUGAUCUCAUGUCUGUUUUGCAAGGAUUUUUAUUCACACCCUGAAUUAUUGCUACCUUGAUUCAGGUUAUCUACUGAUGGACACACAGGAAAUAGAGGAGAAACCAUCUGAAGCCAUUCCAGCAACUGCAUCUCAAAAGAAGCAAGAAACUCGUGAUGAAAUGCUAUCUAGGCACAGGUAGACAAAUUUGACUUUGAGACCAAUUAUUGUCUCUUUAUUACCUUUUGGGCAGAUUCCAGUGUCUUAAUUGUUAUGGUACCAUAUUGGAGGCUAUUUCAUGAUAACUAGAUCCUUCAUAUAUUCUGUAAUUUUGGAUAGCAUUCUGAUGUACAACUAUACAAGUAGGUGGUUCAGUAUGACAGCAUUAUUGUUAGAAUUGUAAUGGAGAAGGCAGUAUUUAGAAAUCUUCUAUUACCUUUUCAAAAACUUUUAAAUUUGAAUGCUCUGCAAGUGAAGUUUGCAUUUUCUGUACCUUUCCAAAUGAUGCGCCAGUUUAAUGUUUCAUAUCAGAUUUAAUUGUAACUUACAGCAAUUAUUUAUGGGAAAAUAUCAAUUUGUAAGAUUGGUGUUCCACUGAAUUGCUAAUUCACAUCAAGGCACAUGUCUAAAAUUAUGCAUGCAGAAAGGAGAUAGCAGAACUGCAGAGCAAAGAAAUUGAACUGAAAAAGGCUGCAGCAAAAGGUAGCAAGGCUGAACAAAAGGCUAAGAAGAAGCAGGUUGAAGAGCAGAUCUCUAAACUUUCUACUGAGCUAAAAGAGAAGCAUACUGAAGAACUUGCUUCAUUAGGCUAUAGCAGCAGCAGUAAUGGAAAUGAGAAAAGCAACCUUGACAAUUUGGUCAAGGCCAUAGCUGGUGUUUCUGUUACAAACCAACCAGAACAGUCCAAGGUCAGCAAGAGUGCAAAGAAAAAGGGAAAAAGAGCUCAGCAAGAGGCAGAAAGGGAGCGAAGAAUUCAAGAAGAGCAGAGCAACCUUGUAAGUGAUAGAAUGAUUGAAAAUGACAAAUUGAAACAAAAGCUAGAACCACUUGGAUUGACUGUUAAUGAAAUCAAGCCCGAUGGGCACUGCCUCUACAGAGCCAUUGAGAAUCAGCUAGCUGUCCUUUCUGGAGGUUCUUCUCCCUAUACAUACCAAGACCUUCGAAAAAUGGUGGCAGCUUAUAUGAGAGAACAUGCAUCACAGUUCCUUCCCUUUUUCCAAUCAGAAAAUAUGAUGGAAGGAGAUUCUGAUAUUUCACUGGAAGAAAGAUUUGAGAAUUACUGUAAAGAAGUGGAGUGUACAUCAGCAUGGGGUGGGCAACUAGAGUUGGGGGCCUUAAUUCAUUGUCUCAGGAGACCUAUCAUGAUAUAUUCAGGUUCCUUCCCUGAUGUGGAGAUGGGGAAAGAGUACAAAUUUGAAUCAUCCAGUGGAAGCAUAUUGUUGUCAUACCAUAAACAUGCAUUUGGGCUUGGGGAGCACUAUAAUUCUGUCGUGCCAAACUUGAUCAGGUAGGCACCGCUAUAUCACCUGGGAAGAGUUACUUUUUGCAAUGCAGGUUUAUUUUUCUGUAUUGUUGCGAGGGAAUAGACAAUUUAUAGCCUUAAAUUAAAAAUUAAAGCUGCAUUUGCAUAGUAUUAACAUCUGCAGAAAAUUCAUGAUAGAGUUGCAGAUGGUGGAUUAGGACAAAACACAAUGGGUAUGUUCACCGAUAAGAACCAAAAUUUUAUGGUCUCAUGUAUAACCAUACAAUAAAGUAUGGAAUUAUAUAAAAUUAAUGUCGAGUAAUGAAAAUAUUGUAAUUUGACUAUGCUUGUGAGUGAUUGAAAUCUAUCCUCCAAAGGGUCAAGCCCUGAGAGUCACUUUGUUGUGACGUAAAGCGAAACCAAGUCCAAACGGAUGAAUGGUGCUUGCCAAGAACUUGAUUACCCAAAAUUUCCAUGACUUCUUUGAAAAAAACAGUCAAAGAAGAUUUAUAAUUUUCAUUUUUUCCCGCUUUACUUACUGUUG
rnacentral:misc_RNA from 1 species